rnacentral:rRNA from 1 species
UUGCCUACGGGACGCAGCAGUGGGGAAUAUUGCACAAUGGGGGGAACCCUGAUGCAGCGACGCCGCGUGGGUGAAGAAGUCAUUCGUGACGUAAAGCCCUAUCAGCAGGGAAGAAAAUGACGGUACCUGACUAAGAAGCCCCGGCUAACUACGUGCCAGCAGCCGCGGUAAUACGUAGGGGGCAAGCGUUGUCCGGAUUUACUGGGUGUAAAGGGCGUGUAGCCGGGCCGGCAAGUCAGAUGUGAAAUCCCAAGCCUCAACCCCGGGACUGCUCUUGGAACUGCGUGGCUGGAGUGCAGGAGGGG